rnacentral:tRNA from 1 species
GAGGGUACAGCUCAGUGGUAGAGAACAUGCUUACCAUGUACAAGGUCCCGGGUUCAAUCCCCAGUACCUUCA